rnacentral:rRNA from 1 species
GACGAGGGGUGCAAACGUUAUUCGGAAUGAUUGGGUGUAAAGGGUGCGUAGGCGGUAUGCUAAGUCAAUCGUUAAAUUUUUCGGCUUAACCGAAAGUGAGCGGUAGAAACUGGCGUACUUGAGAAUGAGAGAGAGAAGUAGAAUUCUUGGAGUAGCGGUAAAAUGCGUAGAUCUCAAGAGGAAUACCAAUGGCGAAGGCAGCUUCUUGGCUCAUUUCUGACGCUGAGGCACGAAAGCGUGGGGAGCAAACAGG